rnacentral:rRNA from 1 species
GAUGAACGCUGGCGGCGUGCCUAAUACAUGCAAGUCGAGCGAACGGACGAGAAGCUUGCUUUUCUGAUGUUAGCGGCGGACGGGUGAGUAACACGUGGAUAACCUACCUAUAAGACUGGGAUAACUUCGGGAAACCGGAGCUAAUACCGGAUAAUAUUUUGAACCGCAUGGUUCAAAAGUGAAAGACGGUCUUGCUGUCACUUAUAGAUGGAUCCGCGCUGCAUUAGCUAGUUGGUAAGGUAACGGCUUACCAAGGCAACGAUGCAUAGCCGACCUGAGAGGGUGAUCGGCCACACUGGAACUGAGACACGGUCCAGACUCCUACGGGAGGCAGCAGUAGGGAAUCUUCCGCAAUGGGCGAAAGCCUGACGGAGCAACGCCGCGUGAGUGAUGAGGGCCUUCGGAUCGUAAAACUCUGUUAUUAGGGAAGAACAUAUGUGUAAGUAACUGUGCACAUCUUGACGGUACCUAAUCAGAAAGCCACGGCUAACUACGUG